UACAAAACAGCUUCUGUAGACUAACCUAAGAACUUCAUUGAUGAUAAAUCUACUGGAUUCAUAAAAUUAUGGACUAAAUAUAGACAUUGGAUUUACGGCACAUUAUAACCUGCCCACCAUCCUAUAUCUACAGAUAACCUCUCUACAUUUUACUAGCUACUUUCUAUCACCAAGUCAACUUUCUCCCUCCCCACCUACCUGUCUCACACGUAUCAUGGCCCAUGGCUUCUGAUCCUUACUGCCAUGUAUUUGCAUUUUCACAGACCUGCAUUUUGCAUAUUGGCUUUAUUCCAUUCAUGAGAACAAGAAACACCAGCAGACUCUCCCUAUGCCUGAAGAAGGGUGUUUGUGCGUGAAAGCUUGCAAGGAACCAUUUUUCCAACUAUUUAGUUGGUCUAACAAAAGAUAGCAUAUUUAUCCAAAGACUCUGGUCUGCCUAUGUCCUUAGACCAACAUGGUUACAACCAACACCACCAAGGACUGUGAAGGAACACAACACUACUUUAAAAGGACUUGGGGCUAUGUUGAAGUGCCAGCAUCUCAUCCAAGCUUCUGUUAUCAGCAUAUGAGAAGAAUGUUAGAGUGGACCUGCUGUCUGCAAUAAAAGGGUGUUAUGAAGAGGCCUACUUGGGCAGUUCUAACAGCCUGCAGUUCUAAAACAUGACUACUAGAGGGCAGCAUUCUUUGUGGAAAGGAUCCCAUUUAAGUGUAAGAGACUUUGACUGUCUAUCUGCAACAACUUGAAUCAUCCGUUGGUACUUUUAGCAGCAGUGCUGCAACUGAACAUAUUUCAGACAACAAAGUAUCUGUAACAAGCAAAACAUUUAAGUCAUCCAGUAAAAUCACCACCACGGAAGGGUUUAUAAUAAGGACCAGCAAAUAGCAACAAGACACCAUAGAUGAAAAGAUUCCUCGGUUCAGUUAUGCCACAAAUUCUCCUUUUCGUAUUGUUAACAAUAAACACUUCAUUUACAUGAUUGAGUCCUUACGACCAGGCUACACCCCACCUGGUAGAGCAGACAUUAGUAGCAGGUUGGUAGAUACAGUGUAUGAGAAGGAACUUGAACAGUGUGCAAGAAAUACUGAGGGGAAAUUUGCCAGUUUAAGCCUUGAUGGGUGCAGCAAUGUACACAAUGAUCCGGUAAUAUGUGCCUGUGUGACAACAGAAGAUGGGGUUGCAUAUCUCACAGAAACAAUAAAUACACAGGGAAAUGCCCACACAGCAGAAUAUUUAAAAGGAGUGGCAGUGAAAGCUGUAAUAAACUGAACAAAAAUUCAACUGCCACAUGUGCAGUUUUGUCACAAACAAUGCUGCAAAUGUGGCAAAAAUGAUAAGAUACUUAGAAGAAGAAAUGUAAGCAUGCUCCUUAAUAACAUAGGGCUGCAGUGCCCAUUUAAUGCAUCUUUUAGCCAAAGACUUAAGUACUUCUCCAGGAAUAAAAGAAAAUGUUGAAGUCACAAAAUAUUUCCAUAACAACCAUUUUGCUUCUGCUUCACUGAAGAGAGCACGAGGAUCCAAACUAAUUGUCCCUCAAGAUGUUUGAUGGAAUUCUGGGGUUGAUUGUUUUGAACAAAUUAUUAAGAACUGGCCUUGUUAAGAACUGGCCUUGUGAAAAAAACCAUGAUAAAACAGGUGGAAGUAUCUCAUCCAAAGUAUCUAACAUUGGAUUAAAGAGGAAUAUAGAAGAUAUGCUCAGUAUACUGAAGCCUAUAUCCAUAGCCUUAAACAAACUUCAGAGAGAUUGUUUCUGCAUUGCUGAUGCUGUCGAAAUUUGGAGGGCACUUCAAGAGACAUUGAAGAAAGAAAUACCUAACCAGAAAUUUAAAUUGCAGGCAAUAAAGAAGCAACUGGAUCAAGCAUUAGCUCCACCACAUUUUCUUGCAAACAUUCUCAACCUCGGAUAUAAAGGUAGAUGCUUAACUUUUGAAGAUGAUGCUGCUAUAGCACGGGCAUCUCAAAAUCACUCCUCAGUUAUGCCAUCCAUAAUAAAUUUCAGGGCUGGAGGGGAACCAUUUAAACAGUGCAUGUUUACUGAUGAUGUUUUGAACAAAGUCACUCCCCUGAAUUGAUGGAAAUCAUUAUCCAGGCACCUUGAAACAAAGUUCCUUUAGUUGCUAAGCCAACUUUUUACAGCAGUAGCUUCCUCUGCAGGCACAGAGAGAAUAUUUUUCAUCUUUUUGGUAUUAUUCACUCAAAGCUAAGAAAUUGAUUGGGAGUUGAAAAAGCAGGAAAACUUGUAUUUCUGUUUCAGUCUCUGAAUAAAAAUGACAAUGGGAAUGGGGAAGAUGAGAUCUAGUUGUAGAAAUUUUAAGCACUGUGUACAUUUAGUGUUGUGAUGACUUGUCUGUUACAGUGAAACUUUUAAUUUUCAAAUUUUAUUAAGGGCAGAUGUUAUAAAAUGCUGUAUUGUAAAUUAA